AACAGCCUAGGGAGAGGGUGAGAGGGUGAAAGUGUGAUCAAAGGAAGUAGAGAAGAAGAAGAAGAAGAAAAAUAAUAAUAAGGGUGACUCUCAAAAAGGUGGUGAAGCAGUUAUAAUGAUGAAAGUUAUUGCAACGGAAAAUACGAUGAAGUGUUGGAGCGGUGGUUCAUUUGAAGACUUAGACUAGUUGUUUUUGUUUUCAAUGUUUUGUAAUCCUGCAAUGGAAAAUAAACGAAUGAUCCGUGAUACUAACUCUGGUUAUAUAUGUAUAUUAAGAUGUUUUGGUUAUCUA